rnacentral:rRNA from 1 species
CGUGCAGGCGGGUUGGUAAGUCAGAUGUGAAAGCCCUGGGCUCAACCCAGGAAGUGCAUUUGAAACUGCCGUCCUUGAGUAUGGGAGAGGAGAGUGGAAUUCCCAAUGUAGAGGUGAAAUUCGUAGAUAUUGGGAGGAACACCCGUGGCGAAGGCGACUCUCUGGACCAAUACUGACGCUGAGACGCGAAAGCGUGGGGAGCAAACA